CCUACGGGAGGCAGCAGUGAGGAAUAUUGGUCAAUGGCCGAGAGGCUGAACCAGCCAAGUCGCGUGAGGGAAGACGGCCCUACGUGUUGUAAACCUCUUUUGUCGGGGAACAAAGAGAGUCACGUGUGCCUCGUUGAGAGUACCCGAAGAAAAAGCAUCGGCUAACUCCGUGCCAGCAGCCGCGGUAAUACGGAGGAUGCGAGCGUUAUCCGGCUUUCUUGGGUUUAAAGGGUGCGCAGGCGGCGGUGCAAGUCAGCGGUCAAAUUGCGGGGCUCAACCCCGUACUGCCGUUGAACCUGCAUCCCUAGAGUGCGCGAGAAGUAUGCGGAAGGCGUGGUGUAGCGGUGAAAUGCAUAGAUAUCACGCAGAACUCCGAUUGCGAAGGCAGCAUACCGGCGCGCAACUGACGCUGAUGCACGAAAGCGUGGGUAUCGAACAGGAUUAGAUACCCGAGUAGUC
rnacentral:rRNA from 1 species